UUGACCUCAAAUCAGGUGGGACUACCCGCUGAACUUAAGCAUAUCAA
rnacentral:rRNA from 1 species